rnacentral:rRNA from 1 species
CAGUCGAACGCGUUGGCCCAAUUGAUUGAUGGUGCUUGCACCUGAUUGAUUUUGGUCGCCAACGAGUGGCGGACGGGUGAGUAACACGUAGGUAACCUGCCCAGAAGCGGGGGACAACAUUUGGAAACAGAUGCUAAUACCGCAUAACAGCGUUGUUCGCAUGAACAACGCUUAAAAGAUGGCUUCUCGCUAUCACUUCUGGAUGGACCUGCGGUGCAUUAGCUUGUUGGUGGGGUAACGGCCUACCAAGGCGAUGAUGCAUAGCCGAGUUGAGAGACUGAUCGGCCACAAUGGGACUGAGACACGGCCCAUACUCCUACGGGAGGCAGCAGUAGGGAAUCUUCCACAAUGGGCGCAAGCCUGAUGGAGCAACACCGCGUGAGUGAAGAAGGGUUUCGGCUCGUAAAGCUCUGUUGUUAAAGAAGAACACGUAUGAGAGUAACUGUUCAUACGUUGACGGUAUUUAACCAGAAAGUCACGGCUAACUACGUGCCAGCAGCCGCGGUAAUACGUAGGUGGCAAGCGUUAUCCGGAUUUAUUGGGCGUAAAGAGAGUGCAGGCGGUUUUCUAAGUCUGAUGUGAAAGCCUUCGGCUUAACCGGAGAAGUGCAUCGGAAACUGGAUAACUUGAGUGCAGAAGAGGGUAGUGGAACUCCAUGUGUAGCGGUGGAAUGCGUAGAUAUAUGGAAGAACACCAGUGGCGAAGGCGGCUACCUGGUCUGCAACUGACGCUGAGACUCGAAAGCAUGGGUAGCGAACAGGAUUAGAUACCCUGGUAGUCCAUGCCGUAAACGAUGAGUGCUAGGUGUUGGAGGGUUUCCGCCCUUCAGUGCCGGAGCUAACGCAUUAAGCACUCCGCCUGGGGAGUACGACCGCAAGGUUGAAACUCAAAGGAAUUGACGGGGGCCCGCACAAGCGGUGGAGCAUGUGGUUUAAUUCGAAGCUACGCGAAGAACCUUACCAGGUCUUGACAUCUUGCGCCAACCCUAGAGAUAGGGCGUUUCCUUCGGGAACGCAAUGACAGGUGGUGCAUGGUCGUCGUCAGCUCGUGUCGUGAGAUGUUGGGUUAAGUCCCGCAACGAGCGCAACCCUUGUUACUAGUUGCCAGCAUUAAGUUGGGCACUCUAGUGAGACUGCCGGUGACAAACCGGAGGAAGGUGGGGACGACGUCAGAUCAUCAUGCCCCUUAUGACCUGGGCUACACACGUGCUACAAUGGACGGUACAACGAGUCGCGAACUCGCGAGGGCAAGCAAAUCUCUUAAAACCGUUCUCAGUUCGGACUGCAGGCUGCAACUCGCCUGCACGAAGUCGGAAUCGCUAGUAAUCGCGGAUCAGCAUGCCGCGGUGAAUACGUUCCCGGGCCUUGUACACACCGCCC